rnacentral:rRNA from 1 species
GACGAACGCUGGCGGCGUGCUUAACACAUGCAAGUCGAACGGAAAGACCCUGCUUUUGUGGGGUGCUCGAGUGGCGAACGGGUGAGUAACACGUGAGUAACCUGCCCUUGACUUUGGGAUAACUUCAGGAAACUGGGGCUAAUACCGGAUAGGAGCUCCUGCUGCAUGGUGGGGGUUGGAAAGUUUCGGCGGUUGGGGAUGGACUCGCGGCUUAUCAGCUUGUUGGUGGGGUAGUGGCUUACCAAGGCUUUGACGGGUAGCCGGCCUGAGAGGGUGACCGGCCACAUUGGGACUGAGAUACGGCCCAGACUCCUACGGGAGGCAGCAGUGGGGAAUAUUGACAAUGGGCGGAAGCCUGAUGCAGCAACGCCGCGUGCGGGAUGACGGCCUUCGGGUUGUAAACCGCUUUCGCCUGUGACGAAGCGUGAGUGACGGUAAUGGGUAAAGAAGCACCGGCUAACUACGUG